rnacentral:snoRNA from 1 species
GCGCGCAAUGAUUGCAUACCAUCUUUCGGGGCAUAAGUCUGUUGAUGAUAACAUUAUCUUGCUGAGCGCUC